rnacentral:rRNA from 1 species
AUUGAACGCUGGCGGCAUGCCUUACACAUGCAAGUCGAACGGCAGCACGGACUUCGGUCUGGUGGCGAGUGGCGAACGGGUGAGUAAUAUAUCGGAACAUACCCUAGAGUGGGGGAUAACGUAGCGAAAGUUACGCUAAUACCGCAUACGAACUAAGGUUGAAAGUGGGGGAUCGCAAGACCUCAUGCUCAUGGAGUGGCCGAUAUCUGAUUAGCUAGUUGGUGAGGUAAAGGCUCACCAAGGCGACGAUCAGUAGCUGGUCUGAGAGGACGACCAGCCACACUGGAACUGAGACACGGUCCAGACUCCUACGGGAGGCAGCAGUGGGGAAUUUUGGACAAUGGGGGCAACCCUGAUCCAGCAAUGCCGCGUGAGUGAAGAAGGCCUUCGGGUUGUAAGCUCUUUGUCUAGGGAAGAAACGGUAGAUCUCUAAUAUAGAUUGCUAAUGACGGUACCUGAAGAAUAAG